AGGUGCUUGGUUAACUGUUGGUUUCGGUGGGUUGGGGUUUGUAGGAUAGGUUCUAGCCCCAGCCCUCCUACCCUUUGGUUUUCCUGGCAGAGGAAGGAAAUCUCGCAGCUACGUUCAGUUCCAGGACCUUGCUCGAGACAAGCUGGACAAGUUGGGAACUGACCAUUUUAGCAAGAUUAAUCCAGAGGCCCGGAUUCUUGUCCUACUUGGGCCCAAACCAAGCAGGAACUACCCUUUCCCAUUAAGGAGCUCUGGAUUUCACCAGCUGGCUUUAAUAUGGAUUUUAAAUCCCACACUGGCCUUGGAAAACCCUGAUCUUAAGGAUUGGCUCAGGUUCACUUCUGCCUUUGUCUCGCACGCACAGCCCUUUGGAAGUCCAAGCAGCCAUGGCAGAAAGUGACCACGUGGAGGCAGCAGAGAUCCGCCACAAUUCAGGGAACUGUCGGCAGCUGAAAGAAGGAGGCUUCUGUCAGUCAGUGUUGAAAAGCAGAAGGAAGAGCUACCAUCGUCUCUACUGAAGGAAGUAGCCUGGAAAGUUGAGUGACUCCUCAAAAGCACACUGAGCUCAGGUGGAACCAAAUCGAUCGGAGUUUCUUUGAAUCGGGAGCCUUUGCUUAUCCCUUCUCAUUUUCAGUUGUUUAUGUUUGUAAGUGACCUCAUCCGAGGAAGGGAGGUGCACAGGCGCUGUUCGCUUCCAGAUACCUACGGAGGCUUCUGACAUCUACUGUUUUCCUUGGCACGAAGAGCAGGCGCUGGCCUGUGAUUUCUAAGGUCUGAGCUAAUCUUGGAAGUGAAGAGCAGCACCUCCCGCAGCUGGCCUGACUCCCGCUUCUUGGGGAACUGCACAAGGGCAGAGGGCGCAGGGCAGGGCGGAGCCCAGGCUGUUGCCCUUGCUCCCUGGAGGGGUCCCGGGACACACAUGCUGUCCCCACAUCUUCACCACUCGUGUGUGGAGAGUGGGCAUGUCGCCCGGAGGGGAGACGGAGCCUUAGCUGGGGUCCGCGGGGGACAGCCAGUGGGGAACAGUGGGCUUCAUGAGCGCCACCACCUCCCAUCUCUCUCACCCGCCACUACCUGGCCUUGGGAAACAGGUGGGCCUGCCUAGGCGGAAGGCCAGACACACCUUUCACUGCCAAGAUUCCUUCCAUCCCAUCCCCUCUGGUGCCCUGGAUCUCAAGUUUAGAUAAAUGAUUUUAUGGACCAAAUUAGAUUUGUUAA